UCGGGAAUUUUGCUCAAUGGGGGAAACCCUGAAGCAGCAACGCCGCGUGAGGGAUGAAGGCCUUCGGGUUGUAAACCUCUUUUGUCAGGGACGAUGAUGACGGUACCUGGCGAAUAAGCCACGGCUAACUACGUGCCAGCAGCCGCGGUAAUACGUAGGUGGCAAGCGUUGUCCGGAUUUACUGGGCGUAAAGAGCGCGCAGGCGGUCGGAUAAGUCGAGUGUGAAAGCCCCUGGCUCAACCAGGGAGGGUCAUUCGAUACUGUUCGACUCGAAGGCAGGAGAGGGAAGUGGAAUUCCGGGUGUAGUGGUGAAAUGCGUAGAUAUCCGGAGGAACACCAGUGGCGAAGGCGACUUUCUGGCCUGUUCUUGACGCUGAGGCGCGAAAGCUAGGGGAGCAAACGGG
rnacentral:rRNA from 1 species